CCUACGGGUGGCAGCAGUCGAGAAUCAUUCACAAUGGGGGAAACCCUGAUGGUGCGACGCCGCGUGGGGGAAUGAAGGUCUUCGGAUUGUAAACCCCUGUCAUGUGGGAGCAAAUUAAAAAGAUAGUACCACAAGAGGAAGAGACGGCUAACUCGGUGCCAGCAGCCGCGGUAAUACAGAGGUCUCAAGCGUUGUGCGGAAUCACUGGGCGUAAAGCGUGCGGAGGCUGUUUCGUAAGUCGUGUGUGAAAGGCGCGGGCUCAACCCUCGGACGGCACAUGAUACUGCGAGACUAGAGUACUGGAGGGGGGACCGGAAUUCUCGGUGUAGCAGUGAAAUGCGUAGAUAUCGAGAGGAACACUCGUGGCGAAGGCGGGUUCCUGGACAUUAACUGACGCUGAGGCACGAAGGCCAGGGGAGCGAAAGGGAUUAGAUACCCCGGUAGUC
rnacentral:rRNA from 1 species